GACGAACGCUGGCGGCGUGCUUAACACAUGCAAGUCGAACGGGAACCUUUAUUUCGGUAAAGGUGAGAGUGGCAAACGGGUGAGUAACACGUAGGCAACCUGCCGACAGGAUGGGGACAACAUUCCGAAAGGAAUGCUAAUACCGAAUGGAGUCCGGAGAUGGCAUCAUCUCCGGAUAAAAGAUGGCCUCUGAAUAUGCUAUCGCCUGUCGAUGGGCCUGCGUCUGAUUAGCCAGUUGGCGGGGUAACGGCCCACCAAAGCGACGAUCAGUAGCCGGUCUGAGAGGAUGAACGGCCACAUUGGGACUGAGACACGGCCCAGACUCCUACGGGAGGCAGCAGUGGGGAAUCUUCCACAAUGGGCGAAAGCCUGAUGGAGCAACGCCGCGUGAGUGAAGAAGGUCUUCGGAUCGUAAAGCUCUGUUGCACGGGACGAAAACCGAGCUUGAAAAU
rnacentral:rRNA from 1 species